rnacentral:misc_RNA from 1 species
AAAAUGCGAUACGUAAUGUGAAUUGCAGAAUUUGUGAAUCAUCGAAUCUUUGAACGCAAAUUGCGCUGUUGGGCAUUCCUGACAGCAUGCUUGGCUGAGUAUCAUCUGGACAAAUCAGCAAAAGUUUUUAUUAUACUUUUGUGGACAUGAGGCGUCACAUUGCGCUCUGCAAUGGGUCCCUUUAAAUGCAGUUAGGUGAAGAGGGCUGGCGUCCUUGCAACCACUAGUGUGUCAAUUGCUCUUGCGAGCAUCAAUGCGCUAUGUCGGGGGCUUGGGCACUCAAAGUCGGCGUCUCCUUAGCCUCUGGUUAAACUCUUUUGAAACUUUGAUCUCAGCUCAAGCAAGACUACCCGCUGAAUUUAA